AGUCGAACGGAAAGGCNUCUUCGGAGGUACUCGAGUGGCGAACGGGUGAGUAACACGUGGGCAAUCUGCCCUGCACUUCGGGAUAAGCCUGGGAAACUGGGUCUAAUACCGGAUAGGACCUCAAGACGCAUGUCUUCUGGUGGAAAGCUUUUGCGGUGUGGGAUGGGCCCGCG
rnacentral:rRNA from 1 species